rnacentral:rRNA from 1 species
GAUGAACGCUGGCGGCGUGCCUAAUACAUGCAAGUCGAGCGAACGGACGAGAAGCUUGCUUCUCUGAUGUUAGCGGCGGACGGGUGAGUAACACGUGGAUAACCUACCUAUAAGACUGGGAUAACUUCGGGAAACCGGAGCUAAUACCGGAUAAUAUUUUGAACCGCAUGAUUCAAAAGUGAAAGACGGUCUUGCUGUCACUUAUAGAUGGAUCCGCGCUGCAUUAGCUAGUUGGUAAGGUAACGGCUUACCAAGGCAACGAUGCAUAGCCGACCUGAGAGGGUGAUCGGCCACACUGGAACUGAGACACGGUCCAGAAUCCUACGGGAGGCAGCAGUAGGGAAUCUUCCGCAAUGGGCGAAAGCCUGACGGAGCAACGCCGCGUGAGUGAUGAAGGUCUUCGGAUCGUAAAACUCUGUUAUUAGGGAAGAACAUAUGUGUAAGUAACUGUGCACAUCUUGACGGUACCUAAUCAGAAAGCCACGGCUAACUACGUG